ensembl:lincRNA
UGUGGAUUUCGUUGCUUUUUCUUCCAGAGAUUUUAAAGACUAAUUUACCUUAACACAUAAAUCAGUUUCAUCAACAUUCCUUCUGAUUUCUAGCACGUCUCCACCUUCUAAUGCAUUUAUCUUCAAUGACAAGGGCUCACCAUCCACCGCAUCAUCUCCAAGAACAGCAGUCUGAUCUGUCUUCAGCAAGAAAACUGGCACACACCUGUUCCCAGCAACAGGGAGGAGAGAAAGGUUUACUCCGAAUGCACCCACGACAAAACUCCCCUGCUGCCAAGCUCUCCGUGGCUUCCUGGAGACCAACACACACAGGAACAGAAGCCCGGCAACCCCCAGGGGAAGAUGCCUCCUCCGGGUUUAAAAACGGAGCUACCCUUUUGCCCGGGGAUCAUGAGCGUUGCCUUGUGACUUAGUGC